CGGACCUACGGGGCGCAGCAGUAGGGAAUCUUCCACAAUGGGCGAAAGCCUGAUGGAGCAACGCCGCGUGGGUGAAGAAGGUCUUCGGAUCGUAAAACCCUGUUGUUAGAGAAGAAACCCCCCCCCCCCAACUGUUCACGUUUCGACGGUAUCUAACCAGAAAGCCACGGCUAACUACGUGCCAGCAGCCGCGGUAAUACGUAGGUGGCAAGCGUUAUCCGGAUUUAUUGGGCGUAAAGGGAACGCAGGCGGUCUUUUAAGUCUGAUGUUAAAGCCUUCGGCUUAACCGGAGGUGUGCAUUGGAA
rnacentral:rRNA from 1 species